rnacentral:rRNA from 1 species
CAGCAGCCGCGGUAAUACGUAGGGUGCGAGCGUUAAUCGGAUUUACUGGGCGUAAAGCGUGCGCAGGCGGCCCGUUAAGACAGGUGUGAAAUCCCUGGGCUCAACCUAGGAAUUGCGCUUGUGACUGGCGGGCUCGAGUACGGUAGAGGGGGGUGGAACUCCUGGUGUAGCAGUGAAAUGCGUAGAGAUCAGGAGGAACACCGAUGGCGAAGGCAGCCCCCUGGGCCUGUACUGACGCUCAUGCACGAAAGCGUGGGGAGCAAACAGGAUUAGAUACCCGGGUAGUCCACGCCCUAAACGAUGGGUACUAGCCGUUUGGUGCGCGAUAGCGCUGAGUGGCGAAGCUAACGCGUGAAGUACCCCGCCUGGGGAGUACGGCCGCAAGGUUGAAACUUAAAGGAAUUGGCGGG